rnacentral:snRNA from 1 species
AGCUUUGUGCAGUGGCAGCAUUGUAACCAAUGAGGCUUAUCCAAGGCACGAUUAUUGCUAAUUAAAUAUCUUAUUUUUGUUUCCUUACAUUUAAACAGAGGAAACUGAGCUACAUGAUUUCUUCAU